GGUAACUUGGCCGAGCGGUCUAAGGCGCCAGACUCAAGCGCAAGCUUCGUCCUUCUAAAAGGACGAGUAUUCUGGUCUCGCAAGAGGCGUGAGUUCGAAUCUCACAGUUAUCA
rfam:Colletotrichum sublineola strain TX430BB Scaffolds1382.1, whole genome shotgun sequence.